UUUUGACCCACAGAAACACUGUGCUGGGUCGGAGUUUGUCAACCACCCUUCUCCAGCCAGCAACACACAGAACAUGGCGGGGAAGUCGCGGUUACCAGGCUCCACUCCGAGGAGAAACCAGCCCAGCUCCAGGCACUGUGGCGCCACUGUGACGUCGCCGAAGGCCGGCGCUAUUACGACGCCGGAAGGCCCGCGCCUGUGACGUCAGCUGAGGCGCGCCCCUGUGACAUCGCACAGGCCCGCCCCUUCUGUAGAACCAAUCGGAACUCGAGGCGCGGCGGCUGGGUAUUCCAGGAGAGCGCAUGCGCAGACGCGUGGCCACAGACUGCCGGUCAGUGUCAGCAGGCGGUGGGUUAGGGUCCGCAGGCUCAGACCAGGCCGCCGACACCAAUAAGCUACAAGGAGGAGCUUUACCGCUGCCUGUGCUACUACUACCUGCGCGACUUCCCAGCCUGCGGCGUAGGGCGCAGCAAGGGCCUGACGCUUAGCGAGCAGGCGCUGCGCACCAAGCGGCUGUCUCCUGGAGGGCACGUUCAGGCAGAAGCUCCUCAGUGGCCACCACAAGUCCGCUAGCUCCGGCUACAGCCCUUGCCGCACACUCGCGUCACCUGAGCCUGGGAUACCGAAGGACCUGUUCAAAGUAUUUUCUGUAACUCCAACUGUAACUUGGUUCUAGGAGGAGAGAAUCCAUGUUUGGUCAACAGAACUUUUCGCUGCCACUUAAGUUUACUGCUUCAAUAUCUUUUCCUUACUAAUUGAUUGUUAAGUAGUGUCCAAGUGAGUUAGCCUUUUUAGGGUUUAUUAAUUAAAAGAGCAGCAAGAAUGGCAUUUUAA